GACAGAGGGGGCAAGCGUUGCUCGGAAUUACUGGGCGUAAAGGGCGCGUAGGCGGGAUGGCAAGUCGGUCGUGAAAUCCCUCGGCUCAACUGAGGAUCGUCGAUCGAUACUGCCGUUCUUGAGGAUUGCAGAGGAGACUGGAAUUCCCGGUGUAGCGGUGAAAUGUGUAGAGAUCGGGAGGAACACCGGUGGCGAAGGCGGGUCUCUGGGCAAUUCCUGACGCUGAGGCGCGACAGCGUGGGGAGCAAACAGG
rnacentral:rRNA from 1 species